ensembl:snRNA U6 U6 spliceosomal RNA
AUGCUCGCUUUGGAAGCACAUAUACUAACAUUGAACUGAUACAGAGAAGAUUAGCGUGGCCCCUGCUCAAGGAUGACAUGCAAAUCUGUGAAGCGUUCCAUUAAAAA